CUGCUGAAUUGCACUCUGUGCGAUCCAUGGGUCCCAAGGGGCCACAGGAGGUGCCCUGGAACCUGCCUCCAGGGAGGUUCUAGAGGACAUUAUUUAUCACGCGGCUCAGGCGGGGCUCCUGGCUGCCAGCAAUAGAAGCCUGUUCUGGCUGAGCUCAGGCUCAUCUCACUGUUGUACUAUGUAGGCUGGUUGAUGUAUAGGUUGUCAGACAUUCUCAGUUGAACUGAACACACAUACUUGGGCUUUCUCUGAUCUGUUCAUUACCUCCUUGGUAUGUAUGGGGCAACUGUCAAGGGCAAGGUGUGUGUGGCAUACACGAUGUUUUGGAGGACUCGAGCCCAAAGACUGACACCCAAGGAGGUGACAUGCAUGUGAACACCCAGGAGUUUGAAGCUAGUGAAGACACCUCAAGAUGGCUCACUAGGAGUUUACCAGCCUCGCUUUGUGAAGAACCAAACGGUCCUUUGUUCACGACUCAGAAAUGCUUCACCUCCCUUGGGGACGCUCCCGAGGCUGCCCGGGAAGUCGUGUUGGCCCCACCGCUUCUGCAAGGAUGAGAGCACACGUGGUCAGCAGCACAAUUCCAGCAGGAAGAUGUCAAAGCAUUCAACAAAAUCUCAGAUGUGAGCACCGGGGAUUACCAGGACUUUCAGAUUCACAUUCGUUUUCAUAAUGUGCUUCAUUUUCUGAGAAUUCUGUGGCAUUUUGGCCUCUGCCAUGAGGAAUACAUUCCCGUUCUGACAAUUCAGAAUUGGCUCUUUGUAGUGUUUGUCCUUGGGGAAGAAUGAAUUGUUGGAGAAGGUGUUUGAAUGACCUUGUGCUUCGGGGCUCAUCGAGAACCAUCCGCACAAUCCGUCUGGGCAUCAGCCUCUUU
rnacentral:lncRNA from 1 species